UGUUUUUGUAAGUGUAUAAGGGCACGGGGAGGAUGCCGAGGCCCUGGGAGCCGAUGAAGGACGUGGGAGA
rnacentral:rRNA from 1 species